rnacentral:piRNA from 1 species
UGACAGGAGCAGUGAGGAGGUACGUUAU